rfam:Brevundimonas diminuta ATCC 11568 genomic scaffold BDIM_scaffold00003, whole genome shotgun sequence.
CACUCAUCAAGACCGGCUGAGGGAUUAGGCCCUUUGACGCCGGGGCAACCAUCGGGUUCCGCCCGAAACGGUGCCAACUCCUGCGGGGUUCUUCGGGCUUGCCUGAAAGGACCGCGAGAGAUGGGUG